rnacentral:lncRNA from 1 species
GAAGUCUUGCCAAAAUAGCCAAUUAAACUCUUUUUCCUUUUCUUCUUUUACUCUUUUUUUUAAACUUUGAGAAGAGAAAAUAACAAAUUGUCAAAAGAAUUGACGAAAAUCUUUUUGAAUUUUUCAACUUUAACAUCUCUAUACAACAUGAAACCUACGAUUACCAAAGAAAAAUCUUUUUGGAUUUUCGAUUUUGAAUUUCAUAUGAAAGUGAAUCUUGAAACUACCAAAGGAAAAUCUUUUUGUAGUUUUCUUUUAAAAGAUGUAUAUGAAACACCUACUCUA